UUUCCGUAGGUGAACCUGCGGAAGGAUCAUCAACAAAAUUCAAAAAUUCAAAACAAAAAAAAACACCAAUUUCAUUCCAAAAUUAUAUUUGAAUGUUUUUUUAAUGGGGAUGUGGGGAUUUCUAAUUUUUUUAAUUAGAUUUUUCUCAUGCCCCAUAAUUUAAAACUCCUAAAAAAACAAAUUUAAAAAUUAUUCCACAAAAUUUUAAAAUAUAAAAAUAGAGACAACUUUUAACAAUGGAUCUCUUGGCUCUC
rnacentral:misc_RNA from 1 species